rnacentral:lncRNA from 1 species
AAAAAUGCCGGUAUUCAAACUAAUAUUUGAAGUUUAGAUAGUAUACAAAGCUUAGGCAGUGGAAUAAAACAUUCAUUUCCCUUGGCCUCGGGAAAUAUGAAGAUUUGUUCACCCUCGAAAUAUCAUAAUUCCCUCGGGCAGAGCCCUCGUGAAAUAUGAAUAUUCUUGGGUGAACAAAUCUUCAUAUCUCCCUCAGUCACGG